GACAGAGGGUGCAAACGUUGCUCGGAAUCACUGGGCGUAAAGGGCGCGUAGGCGGCUUAUCAAGUCAGGCGUGAAAUUCCCGGGCUCAACCUGGGGGCUGCGCUUGAUACUGAUUGGCUUGAAUGCGGGAGAGGAUAGUGGAAUUCCCGGUGUUAGAGGUGAAAUUCGUAGAUAUUGGGAAGAACACCGGUGGCGAAGGCG
rnacentral:rRNA from 1 species